rnacentral:tRNA from 1 species
UGGGGUGUAGCCAAGUGGUAAGGCAACUGGUUUUGGUCCAGUCAUUCGGGGGUUCGAAUCCCUCCUCCCCAUCCA